rnacentral:rRNA from 1 species
UACGAAGGGUGCAAGCGUUACUCGGAAUUACUGGGCGUAAAGCGUGCGUAGGUGGUGAGUUAAGUCUGAUGUGAAAGCCCUGGGCUCAACCUGGGAAUUGCAUUGGAUACUGGCAGGCUAGAGUGCGGUAGAGGAUGGCGGAAUUCCCGGUGUAGCAGUGAAAUGCGUAGAGAUCGGGAGGAACACCAGUGGCGAAGGCGGCUUCCUGGCCUGUUCUUGACGCUGAGGCGCGAAAGCUAGGGGAGCAAACGGG